rnacentral:rRNA from 1 species
UAGCUAGUUGGUGGGGUAAGGGCCUACCAAGGCGACGAUCGGUAGCUGGUCUGAGAGGAUGGCCAGCCACACUGGAACUGAGACACGGUCCAGACUCCUACGGGAGGCAGCAGUGGGGAAUAUUGGACAAUGGGGGGAACCCUGAUCCAGCAAUGCCGCGUGUGUGAAGAAGGCCUGAGGGUUGUAAAGCACUUUCAGUGGGGAGGAGGAUUGAUUGUUUAAGAGAUGAUUAAUUGGACGUUACCCACAGAAGAAGCACCGGCUAACUCCGUGCCAGCAGCCGCGGUAAUACGGAGGGUGCGAGCGUUAAUCGGAAUUACUGGGCGUAAAGGGUGCGUAGGUGGUUGUAUAAGUUAUCUGUGAAAUUCCUGGGCUUAACCUGGGGUGGUCAGAUAAGACUGUAUGACUCGAGUAUGGGAGAGGGUAGUGGAAUUUCCGGUGUAGCGGUGAAAUGCGUAGAGAUCGGAAGGAACACCAGUGGCGAAGGCGGCUACCUGGCCUAAUACUGACACUGAGGCACGAAAGCGUGGGGAGCAAACAGGAUUAGAUACCCUGGUAGUCCACGCUGUAAACGAUGUCAACUAGCUGUUGGUUAUAUGAAUAUAAUUAGUGGCGC